rnacentral:rRNA from 1 species
CCCGCUGAACUUAAGCAUAUCAAUAAGCGGAGGAAAAGAAACCAACAGGGAUUGCCUCAGUAACGGCGAGUGAAGCGGCAACAGCUCAAAUUUGAAAUCUGGCUCUUUCAGGGUCCGAGUUGUAAUUUGCAGAAGAUGUUUCGGGUGCGGCGCCGGUUUAAGUUCCUUGGAACAGGGCGUCAUAGAGGGUGAGAAUCCCGUAUGUGACCGGUGACCAACCCCAUGUGAAACUCCUUCGACGAGUCGAGUUGUUUGGGAAUGCAGCUCAAAAUGGGUGGUAAAUUUCAUCUAAAGCUAAAUACCGGCCAGAGACCGAUAGCGCACAAGUAGAGUGAUCGAAAGAUGAAAAGCACUUUGGAAAGAGAGUUAAAAAGUACGUGAAAUUGUUGAAAGGGAAGCGCUCGCAACCAGACCUGCCCUCGGACGAUCAGCGGUAGUUUUCUGCCGUGCACUCGUUCGUGAUCAGGCCAGCAUCGGUUUCGGCGGUCGGAUAAAGAUCCUUGGAAUGUAGCUCCCCUCGGGGAGUGUUAUAGCCUUGGGUGCAAUACGGCCAGCCGGGACYGAGGACCGCGCUUCGGCUAGGAUGCUGGCGUAAUGGUUGUGAGCGACCCGUCUUGAAACACGGACCAAGGAGUCUAACAUCUAUGCGAGUGUUUGGGUGUUAAACCCAUGCGCGUAAUGAAAGUGAACGGAGGUGGGAACCCUCAAGGGCGCACCAUCGACCGAUCCAGAAGUUUWCGGAUGGAUUUGAGUACGAGCAUAGCUGUUGGGACCCGAAAGAUGGUGAACUAUGCCUGAAUAGGGUGAAGCCAGAGGAAACUCUGGUGGAGGCUCGCAGCGGUUCUGACGUGCAAAUCGAUCGUCAAAUUUGGGUAUAGGGGCGAAAGACUAAUCG